rnacentral:rRNA from 1 species
UGAACGCUGGCGGCGUGCUUAACACAUGCAAGUCGAACGAGGUUAUUACGAGCGGAAGUUUCGGAGUGGAAGCAGUUUAACCGAGUGGCGGACGGGUGAGUAACGCGUGGGAAACCUGCCCUAUUCCGGGGGAUACCAGUUGGAAACGACUGUAAUACCGCAUAAGCGCACAGCACCGCAUGGUGCAGUGUGAAAAACUCCGGUGGAAUAGGAGUGGUCCCCGCGUCUGAUUAGGCAGUUGCGGGGUAACGGCCCACCAACCGACGAUCAGUAGCCGACCUGAGAGGGUGACCGGCCACAUUGGGACUGAGACACGGCCCAAACUCCUACGGGAGGCAGCAGUGGGGAAUAUUGCACAAUGGGGGAAACCCUGAUGCAGCCGACGCCGCGUGAGUGAAGAAGUAUUUCGGUAUGUAAAGCUCUAUCAGCAGGGAAGAAGAUGACGGUACCUGCACAAGAAGCCCCGGCUAACUACGUGCCAGCCGCGGC